UGGCUAUGGUGGGACUGAGGUUGGAGAGU
rnacentral:piRNA from 2 species